GCCCCAGUAGCUCAGAUGGAUAGAGCGUCUGCCUUCUAAGCAGAAAGUCCCGGGUUCGAAUCCUGGCUGGGGCACCA
rnacentral:tRNA from 1 species